CGGACGGGUGAGUAACACGUUGGUACCUGCCCUCUAGUGGGGGAAUAACUGGCCGAAAGGUCGGCUAAUACCGCAUGUGGUCCUUCGGGAUCAAAGCAGCAAUGCGCUAGAGGAGGGGCCUGCGUCUGAUUAGCUAGUUGGUAGUGUAAUGGACUACCAAGGCGACGAUCAGUAGCUGGUUCGAGAGGAUGACCAGCCACACUGGGACUGAGAUACGGCCCAG
rnacentral:rRNA from 1 species